UACGAAGGGGGCGAGCGUUGUUCGGAUUUACUGGGCGUAAAGGGCGCGCAGGCGGCUAUCCAAGUCAGGCGUGAAAGCCCCGGGCUUAACCUGGGAGGUGCGUCUGGGACUGGGUGGCUAGAGUUCGGGAGAGGAGAGUGGAAUUCCCAGUGUAGAGGUGAAAUUCGUAGAUAUUGGGAAGGACACCGGUGGCGAAGGCGGCUCUCUGGACCGAGACUGACGCUGAGGCGCGAAAGCGUGGGGAGCAAACAGG
rnacentral:rRNA from 1 species